AAAGCUUACAAUUGCUGUUGUAAUAAGGACUGAAGAAAUGCAAGUACUACAAAUGAAGUAGCAGAAUACGAAUAUGAAUUCCUACCAAAAAAUACUUCUGUUUACCAGACCUAAGAUUAAGACUGAAGAAAAGCAAGAACUAGUCCCAAAUAAUGUCAUGCCAGGAAAACAAAACACUUGAGAUUCUUAAGUAAACAGUAGGAAUUCAGCAUGCCAGGAGAUUCUUCUAAAUGAUCAUCUUCCUCACGAAGACACCAGGACUGCCUGCUGAUUUCCUUAAUUUUGUAGAUAAGCUGUUCGAUAGUGCUAAUGGAUUAGCUUCAUACUCUGCUAGAGACCAUAAAGUUAUACAGAGGUGACAUUUACUCAUUUCUCAGCGAUUGUGCUUCAAGGCAUAAUUUAUAAACUAAACUAGAAUCAUCAUGUUAAAAACAC